UGGGGAAUUUUGGACAAUGGGGGAAACCCUGAUCCAGCCAUCCCGCGUGUGCGAUGAAGGCCUUCGGGUUGUAAAGCACUUUUGGCAGGAAAGAAACGUCAUGGGUUAAUACCCCGUGAAACUGACGGUACCUGCAGAAUAAGCACCGGCUAACUACGCGCCAGCAGCCGCGGUAAUACCUAGGGUGCAAGCGUUAAUCGGAAUUACUGGGCGUAAAGCGUGCGCAGGCGGUUCGGAAAGAAAGAUGUGAAAUCCCAGAGCUCAACUUUGGAACUGCAUUUUUAACUACCGGGCUAGAGUGUGUCAGAGGGAGGUGGAAUUCCGCGUGUAGCAGUGAAAUGCGUAGAUAUGCGGAGGAACACCGAUGGCGAAGGCAGCCUCCUGGGAUAACACUGACGCUCAUGCACGAAAGCGUGGGGAGCAAACAGG
rnacentral:rRNA from 1 species